rnacentral:lncRNA from 1 species
CUUUCUUCACUUUCAGACACACAAUUAAACCCUGUGUAGUGAGAAGACUCUGCCUUUUUGGAAUCCUUUGAUCCUCACUCUCCAACUAAAGUUUAGGAAGAAAGACACUAUUGAAAUUCAACACAGAGUUUUAAGGAUUCCAGCCUUCACUCCUCUUGGCUCCAUCUAGGAAAAGCGAUUUCCACGGGGGGCAGAGAUGAUUUUCCUGGCUCUGGGCCUCAUGCCCUUUGGAUUGAAACUCUUGCCUGGAGCAUUAAGAACUUGGGGGAGAAAUCACUACUCACUGCUUUGCUCGCAAUUCUCAUUUGGACUAGCGCUUGCAGAAACUGAGCUGAACUUUCCGCACUGUUAUUGCAUCUGUAAGGAAAACGCCUAUUUUGGAGUGAAACCAGGGCCGCCUUAUGAGCUAAACAGAGUGUGUUACAGCUUCAAUAGACUAAACAAGCUCUAAAUUUAUCUUCCUAUGGUCACGGGAUCUCAUAUAUUCUGGCUGUCAUUGUCAUAAUAAGCCACUCUUGGUCAUAUGGAAAAGCAUUCAGCUGCUCCCUGCCUUUGCUCACAGCGUGUGGUACUCUCUUAGAAGCUAUUCCUG